rnacentral:tRNA from 1 species
GCCUUAGUGCAGUAGGCAGCGCGUCAGUCUCAUAAUCACGUGAUACAGAGCAAUCUGAAGGUCGUGAGUUCGAUCCUCACCCUGGGCA